AUUGAACGCUGGCGGCAUGCCUUGCACAUGCAAGUCGAACGGCAGCACGGGUGCUUGCACCUGGUGGCGAGUGGCGAACGGGUGAGUAAUACAUCGGAACGUACCUUAUCGUGGGGGAUAACGCAGCGAAAGCUGUGCUAAUACCGCAUACGCCCUGAGGGGGAAAGCGGGGGAUCGAAAGACCUCGCGCGAUUAGAGCGGCCGAUGCCUGAUUAGCUUGUUGGUGGGGUAAAAGCCCACCAAGGCGACGAUCAGUAGCUGGUCUGAGAGGACGAUCAGCCACACUGAGACUGAGACACGGCGCAGACUCGUACGGGAGGCAGCAGUGGGGAAUUUUGGACAAUGGGGGCAACCCUGAUCCAGCAAUGCCGCGUGAGUGAAGAAGGCCUUCGGGUUGUAAAGCUCUUUUGUCAGGGAAGAAACACCGGCUCUAACACAGUCCGGGAAUGACGGUACCUGAAGAAUAAGCACCGGCUAACUACGUGCCAGCCGCCGCCGUAA
rnacentral:rRNA from 1 species